rnacentral:rRNA from 1 species
AUUGAACGCUGGCGGCAGGCCUAACACAUGCAAGUCGAGCGGAUGAAGGGAGCUUGCUCCUGGAUUCAGCGGCGGACGGGUGAGUAAUGCCUAGGAAUCUGCCUGGUAGUGGGGGAUACCGUCCGGAAACGGGCGCUAAUACCGCAUACGUCCUGAGGGAGAAAGUGGGGGAUCUUCGGACCUCACGCUAUCAGAUGAGCCUAGGUCGGAUUAGCUAGUUGGUGGGGUAAAGGCCUACCAAGGCGACGAUCCGUAACUGGUCUGAGAGGAUGAUCAGUCACACUGGAACUGAGACACGGUCCAGACUCCUACGGGAGGCAGCAGUGGGGAAUAUUGGACAAUGGGCGAAAGCCUGAUCCAGCCAUGCCGCGUGUGUGAAGAAGGUCUUCGGAUUGUAAAGCACUUUAAGUUGGGAGGAAGGGCAGUAAGUUAAUACCUUGCUGUUUUGACGUUACCAACAGAAUAAGCACCGGCUAACUUCGUG